UCAAGAUAAUAAGGGCGUACGGGGGAUGCCUUGGUGCCAGGAGGCGAAGAAGGACGUGGCAAGCUGCGAUAAGCUACGGGGAGCUGCAAGCGAGCAUAGAUCCGUAGAUAUCCGAAUGGGGGAACCCAGCAGAGGCGAACCUCUGCUACCCACACCUGAAUCCAUAGGGUGUGAGGGGCCAGACCCGGUGAACUGAAACAUCUUAGUAACCGGAGGAAAAGAAAUCAAAAGAGAUUCCCCAAGUAGCGGCGAGCGAACGGGGAGAAGCCCAAACCGGCUGUGUGUGAUAGCCUGCAAGCGUUGCGCAGCCGGGGUUGCGGGGAACACAGAAGUGAGUUGCAGAUCACUUAAGGAGUUACAAACCAUAUCGUUAGCUGAACCUGGAUGGAAAGCCGGGCCACAGAGAGUGAAAGCCUCGUAAGCGAAAAUGAUAUGGCUCCUGGUGUAAACCCCGAGUACCGCCGGGCACGUGGAACCUGGUGGGAAGCAGGGAGGACCACCUUCCAAGGCUAAAUACUACCUGGCAACCGAUAGCGAAUAGUACCGUGAGGGAAAGGUGAAAAGCACCCCGGGAGGGGAGUGAAAGAGAACCUGAAACCGUAUGCCUACAAGCAGUCAGAGCACUAUUUAUAGUGUGAUGGCGUACCUUUUGUAGAAUGGGCCAGCGAGUUACGGCAGCAAGCGAGGUUAAGCCAAGAAGGGCGGAGCCGGAGCGAAAGCGAGUCUAAAAAGGGCGGUUUAGUUUGUUGCUGUAGACCCGAAACCGGGUGAUCUAUCCAUGGCCAGGGUGAAGCGAUGUUAACACGUCGUGGAGGCCCGAACCAGAGUGCGUUGAAAAGUGCGUGGAUGAGCUGUGGAUAGGGGUGAAAUGCUAAUCGAACUCGGAGAUAGCUGGUUCUCCCCGAAAUAGCUUUAGGGCUAGCGUCGAGUGAUUCCUUAUGGGGGUAGAGCACUGGUUAGGCUAGGGGCCUUACCCGGUUACCGAACCUUCCCAAACUCCGAAUACCAUAAGGCAAAGCUCGGCAGUCAGACUGCGGGUGAUAAGGUCCGUAGUCGAGAGGGAAACAGCCCAGACCAACAGCUAAGGUCCCAAAAUCUAUGCUAAGUGGAAAAGGAGGUAGAGUCGCCCAGACAGCCAGGAUGUUGGCUUAGAAGCAGCCAUCAUUCAAAGAGUGCGUAAUAGCUCACUGGUCAAGUGACUCUGCGCCGAAAAUUCAACGGGGCUAAGCAUAGUACCGAAGCUUUGGGAUUGAGAAGUGAGAUGUGGGAAGUUAAAUGAGAUGUGAGAAGUGCGAAGUUAGAAGUGAGACACUUAGAGAAUCACAAAUCAACAUCUCAUUAGCCGAAACAAUGAGAGUGAAGGUAGCAGAAUGGGGAUAGAAAUCCCUCAUCUAACCUCUCACAUCUCACUUCUCAAUCGGUAGGGGAGCGUACCUGGCGGGUAGAAGCCGUACCGGAAGGAGCGGUGGACUGCCAGGUAGAGAGAAUGCUGGCAUAAGUAAGCGAGAAGGCAGGUGAGAAUCCUGCCCGCCGGAAGCCUAAGGAUUCCUGGGGAAGGCUCGUCCGCCCAGGGUAAGCCGGGACCUAACCCGAGGCCGAAAGGCGUAGGGGAUGGAUAACUGGUUGAGAUUCCAGUGCCACCGGACAUCCGUUUGAGCGAUGGGGUGACGCAGGAGGAUAGGUGAAGCGCACGGCUGGAAGAGUGCGUCCAAGCACGUAGGGUGUAAGAUAGGCAAAUCCGUCUUACGAAGGCCUGAGGUGUGAUGGGGAGUGAAAUUAAGUAGCGAAGUCAUUGAUUCCAAACUGCCAAGAAAAGCCUCUAGCGAGGAUGUUGGUGCCCGUACCGCAAACCGACACAGGUAGGCAAGGAGAGAAUCCUAAGGCGCGCGAGAGAACCCUCGUUAAGGAACUCGGCAAAAUGACCCCGUAACUUAGGGAGAAGGGGUGCUCUGUUAGCGUGAGUCAUGAACAUUGAUGAGCGUGAGGGAGCCGCAGUGAACAGGCCCAGGCGACUGUUUAGCAAAAACACAGGUCUCUGCGAAAUCGAAAGAUGAAGUAUAGAGGCUGACGCCUGCCCGGUGCCGGAAGGUUAAGGGGAAAGGUUAGCGCAAGCGAAGCUUUGAACCGAAGCCCCGGUGAACGGCGGCCGUAACUAUAACGGUCCUAAGGUAGCGAAAUUCCUUGUC
rnacentral:rRNA from 1 species